UACGUAGGCAGCAAGCGUUGUUCGGAGUUACUGGGCGUAAAGGGUGCGUAGGCGGUUGUUUAAGUUUGGUGUGAAAUCUCCCGGCUCAACUGGGAGGGUGCGCCGAAUACUGAAUGACUCGAGUGCGGGAGAGGAGAGUGGAAUUCCUGGUGUAGCGGUGAAAUGCGUAGAUAUCAGGAGGAACACCGGUGGUGUAGACGGCUCUCUGGACCGUAACUGACGCUGAGGAGCGAAAGCGUGGGGAGCGAACAGG
rnacentral:rRNA from 1 species